GGGCCUGUAGCUCAGACGGUUAGAGCACAUCCCUGAUAAGGAUGGGGCCGGAGGUUCAAGUCCUCCCAGGCCCA
rnacentral:tRNA from 2 species